ensembl:lncRNA
AUUGCAUUUAAUUGUAGAGGUGUUAUGAUUUUUCUGACAGUGGUUAUCGUGCAAGUCAGCACUGAACGUCCUCCCAGCUCUUUGUUUCUCCUUACCAUGUAUUGCAUCUCUUCCUGCAAGUUCUCAUCUUCUGUAGGUGUCAUCUUCCCUUUCUCCAUACAGAUGUCCCAGUUGCACUGAUCGUGUAUUCCCUUCCCAGGAUCUCCUCUGCUUUCACCAACACUGCAUGAGGAGGACCAAGGCAAGAACUGCAAAACACCUCUCUGUCCACCUUACACAAUCCGUGAUCAAAGAAUCUUGCCACUGCUGUAUCCUUGGAAUAUCUUUUGAAGAAAGAUGAGAUAAGCAAUGAGUUAAGGCUAAUUCUUCUAGCUUAAACUCAGGGAUAAACACUGACUUUGGUUGUAAUCCAUGAAAUGGAGGGAUUUUCUCAUACUUUUUGCAGAGGUUUAACUGGUGUAAGGUAACAUAUAUUUUCCAAAAAUAAAAAUGUAGCUGAGAUUCCAUUUCUCCUCUGAUGGGAACCAGCCAGCCUAGUGGACAACAGGCACUGCAGCUCAGCUAUCACUACUCUAGCUGCCACAUUUUCUGAACUGACUCCAGAAAGAUCUUUCUUUUUUCUUGACUCAGUUCCAUAACUAAAAAAUGAAUAACAAAUUGUCUUUCUGUCCUUCUUUUCUGUAACAAUUCAAAGGAGUCUGGAAGGCAGUGAGGACUGCCCACUGCACUGCAUCCAAAGCAGUGAACCCUGAGAAAGAAGAUCAAUUGUCUGGAAUUGGAGAAGUUACUACUGAGGGAAUUUCCAACAGGUGGAAAAGCUAAACUUUACUAUGAACAGACAAGAACAUUUUUAUUAUUUUAUCCAAGGGGUUCCUGAAAAAUGUUUGUCUUGGAAGAAGGCCUAAGAAGUGUGUACUCAAUAUUCUAUAUACUGAGAGAAUGUAAGCAAGUAUGCAAAACUAACUCUCCUUCACGAGAAAUUGAAGAGUGGACCGUGGGUAGUAGCAAUGAUGAUGGCUGAGCGGAAACAAGGGGGAAAAAAUCACUGCCUGAAAAGCCGAGAAAUACAAAGUAAAGAGGCUGUCAGUGAUCCUUGCUGGGAAAAGUGAGAAGAACAAGAAACAUAUUGUCACUGUUCAGAUGCGGUCAAGGUGAAGUGGGGAGACUGAAUGAAAGUUACAACAAUGUGACAAAAGAGAGACACAGAUCCAUUUAGUCUUGGAAGGAAGAGAGCAGGAGGCACAGAAGGCUAGUUCACGUGUUGCUUCUAAGCUGAUUUUUGCUGUCAUUUUAUCAUACAAUUUCAGAGGGAAAUGAUGUAUGCCCUUUUACAUCCCCUGACUUUUGUCUUUUAAGAAUAACAGUUCGUUUCUUUUUCAGUAGUGACCUUGUUCUUUUUGAACACAUGGCAGUAUUAUAGUGUUUAUAAAUCACAUAGCUUACUAAAGAAAAUUCUCAUCACCAUUGCUUAUUAGCAGCAGAGCUUUCUCUUGUGUUACUUCCCAAACACACGCACUGUAUGGUCUUUGUUCCCAACAGCUCACAGAUUAAGAGUAAAUAAGAUAAAAAAAAAAAAAAGAAGCUUUAUGGAAGGAAAGCAGAUCAACCAGCUGGGGGUUUCUAUAGCUCCAUCCUACAAUGCCACAAAUUGUUGACUAAAAUCACUCUUACUACCUGGAAAGAUGCACCAGCUCCUACCGGUCCAGCUUGGAAAGCUAGAUGAGGAUCCAGACAGAACAUCCCCAAAUGAAAGGGGAGAAAAUUGGUCUAAUAAGUAUUGCCAUCUAGAUGGAGUAAAGUUAUGAUGUCUGAUCUUAAAAUAAUGCCUCCUAUUUUAUAAUGGUCACCCACAGCAUCAGAGGCAGAUGUUGGUAGUAUGGCAGUAGAGGUUGAACCUUCCUUCCCUCCAAUAACCUGUUAAAUGCUGUUGUUGUGAUGGCAGCAGAGGGGCAGUCUGACAAAAUAGUGUCUGACAUGGACGUGUGUAUAAAGCAAAGGUGUGUCACUGAAUUCCUCCAUGCAGAAAAAAAUUGCACCCAUUGACAUUCAUUAGCACAUACUGAAUGUUUCUGGAGGCCAAACAGUGGAUGUGAGCACAGUGAGGCUGUAGGUGGGUCUCAUGAAAGCUCAGGAACAGAAUAAACACAUAUUCAUGUUUGUCAGGAGGACCUACUGAAUCAAUAUGAGGUGAAUUCCCCAUCUAAGAAAAAAUUCAAGAUGUACCCCUCAGCAGAUGUACACUGUUUUUUUUUUUUUUUUUUUUUUUUUUUUGCGGUAGGAAAGCAGUGCUCUUUCUGGAUUUCCUGGAAUACAGACAGACCAUCAACUCUGAUUGCUACAUUACAACACUGGCUAAGGUGAAGGCUGAACUUGCAGAUUCAGGCCAGAGAAGAGGACAGCCUUUCUCUUGCAACACAGUAAUGCUGGGUCCCAUACCAGUCUGAAGACCAUAGAGCACACUGUCAGUCUUGUCUGGACUGUCCUGCUACACCCACAGUUUAGACCAGAUUUGGUUUUUUUGAACUUCCAUCUUUUCAGGCUGAUUCAUGGGCAACAUUUUCCUAGUAGUGACGCUGUCAUAGCAGCUGUGAAACUGUGGCUCAUCUGCACUGCUGCAGAUUUUUACAGGCACAGUAUGCAGGCUCUUGUUCAUGGCUGGUGAAAAUGGAUGACAAAUGGUGGAGACUAUGUUGAAAAAUAGUGUUUAGUGGGUGAGGAUUUGCUCUAUCAAAUAGUGUUAUUGUGUUCUUUGUUGUAGUUUCCAUGGAAAUAGGAGGCAUUAGAUUCAGAGCAACUUGCGUACAUGCAAAAAGAUGAAACAUUUGGAGAAGCCACCUGCUGUUGUGCAGGUACAUCAGUAGUGAGGCAAAAAUUGGUGCACAGGUAGGACAAAGAAAUAGCAGACCAGGCUAGAGAGGUUUUAAAUGUUUCUUAGGUAUGUUACCUAUAAGGUAACCUUGAAACUUUUCAGUCUGAAAAAUAGCUGCUGAAAAAGAGAGCAGAACAUGGCCAGUCACAUGUGUGACACAAUCAAUCAUUUGAGAGUAGUAAAAUGAAGGUCUGCAUUUAAUAUAUAUAUAUAUAUAUAUAUAUAUAUAUAUAUUUAAAUCUCUUAAGUACUUGAAGAGAUCCUCUGAUAAAUACAGCUGCCUUGGUUUUGUUCUCUGGUUUACAGCUCUCCUGAUGCUAGUGUAAUGAGACAAGUGAGUCAUUUCUACUGCACCUAUUAUCCAUAUAGCAUGUGUUUAUGGCCACACAGUGAAGAGCUUAUACAAUCUCAGAAACUGAGCUUAUGUUAGUGCAGUGGGUUUACAGCUGAAAUGAGGGAGGAUGAGUUCACUGCCAACAGCUCUGCUUUUGGGCAUGUUUCUUCCAAUGAAAGGGCAGGUUGAUUUCACAGCCUUGUGAAGCCAAUGUUAGCAGUUCAAAUGUAUCUUAGCAGUGGAGAAAUGAUGCAGAAAAGAAUGAUGUGUUCCCCAAGAUUUCCAGUGAAUCAUUCAUCUUAGAUACACCUAUUUAAAAAAAUAAAUAUAUGUAAAGCUAAACAGUCAAUCUGCAAAUUUUUUAGGAAUAAUCAGGCUCAAAUACUUCUGUGGCAGGUACUGUGAACAGACACAGAUACUUCUGUGGACAUUUUGUGGCAGGUACUUGAAGCCAUGGGAAGAAUGAUUUGCUUCUGCACUGAUGUACUGCGAUGGGAAUCAUUCUGUGAAUCUCAUCUUUCCCUUGCUCCUCUCUCUUUAAGAUUUCUUAUUUUAUAUUUUCUUGCAAUCUUUCUUCAAUAUCUCUUCACCUCUCACAAACAGCUUUUUUCUUCGCUUUCAUCUGAAAUCCUAUUCUUUUUUCACUAUCCUGUUUUCAGCCUUUCUGAUGUUCUUCUAUUUCUUCUGAACCUCUUCCAUCUUUCCUGCAGAAGCUCCCUACUGCAAGUCCUUCACAACCUUCAUUCCCCUUCCUGCACUGUCUCAGUUCUGGCUGAAAUUGGUGUUGUUGCUAAAGCACCCGUAGGUUUUUUUGGCAACAGAAGUUACCGUAGUGUACCUGUCUCUGUUUCUAAGAUCAAAUAAUUGCAUUUCAACUUUCUGAUUGCUUGAGAUUGUAGAAUGUCUGGUGGUCUACUAAACAAUGCUCAAACUACAGGGAAAAUAAAUAGUAUUAAUGUGAGUUAAAAAAUCAUUGUUCUCAGUCGGCAAUUAGUAUUUCACUAAUAUCCGAAUAAACACAAUUUUCUGAAUUACAUAAACCCAGUUAGAAAUCAUGUUUUCUUGUAUGUAGAGGUCUGAUGGAGGGUAUAUAAAUAUACUGAAUUUGAGGAUCAGUAUGUCAAGCAAGUCUCAGUUUAUAUAGAUCUGUAAAAUGUAAGUUAAAAAUAAUUCAAUAUUUUUUCUAAGUGCUUCUCACACUGUUAUACAACUUGGUGCUACAUAAAAUAGCCAAAAAAGGGAUUAACGCAUUGGAUUCAUUUUCAUAGACAUCGUUCUAACAUUUCCUGAAUUUUAAGAUCGUGUUUCAAAAGGUGGGUUAACUAUUAGUGCAUUAAGCCCCUCAGUUGUUGCUCCUAAGAAUAUGUGAAAGGCAGCUGAAAUAGAGCAUGUUGUUUUUAUCUGGUUCCUACAGUCUGCAGUCCUUCAUCCUCAAACGUUACAGAGGCACCAUAUGCUGUUAAUCACCACUGUUGUAUUUAGUACUCAAUCAACUGAAAUUUGUUGUUUUCAGAUAUUAUAUGCCAGUACGAAACCCAUUAUGGGUGCUGCAUUUCACUGUGAGAGGAACAGUUAAUCCUGGUUUGCUGUCUAUCAUUGUUUCUGAUACAUUUAUAAAGAGAAGUCUUCCUAUGGGAUCUAUAAAUCACGCAUUACCUUUUAGCUAUGCCAUGGUUUAAUGUUAACGUGUUAAAAUAAAGGUUUGUGUAUUGUUCACAAUGCGUAUAAGCUUUUCUUGCUGUGUUAUGUACAAAAUAAUCCAUAUACCACCCAUACUGAGAGUGGCUAUUAAAUAUGCUGGCUCAGUUUACUAGUGGCUUUAAUACACUUCUGUAACGAGGGACUACUUGUAACAUCAAAGCACAGAGAGACAUUAGCUCUUUUCCCCUAUAGCCUCUGACCUGAAAGCUUUGCUUUUUAUCUCUGUAUAAAAGGAAAAUAUUCUUUGCAAAGAAGCCUAGCUUGAGUGUGGAUAUUUUCCCCAUUGUAGAAUGAGAGCCUGUGAAAGUAAUCUACAAUUUUUCAUCUUUGUUCAGAGCAUUGUUUCUUUUUGGACAUUAUGCCUCUUUGA